rnacentral:tRNA from 1 species
GGGCCCGUAGCUCAAUGGUAUUUCAAGUUAUGCUUGAAACAUGAAAGAGCGUCGCCCUUGCAAGGCGGAGGUUUCGGGUUCAAAUCCCGACGGGUCCA